rnacentral:rRNA from 1 species
CCUACGGGAGGCAGCAGUGGGGGAUAUUGCACAAUGGGGGAAACCCUGAUGCAGCGACGCCGCGUGGGUGAAGAAGCGCCUCGGCGCGUAAAGCCCUGUCAGCAGGGAAGAAAAUGACGGUACCUGAAGAAGAAGCCCCGGCUAACUACGUGCCAGCAGCCGCGGUAAUUCGUAGGGGGCAAGCGUUAUCCGGAUUUACUGAGUGUAAAGGGGGCGCAGACGGCGAUGCAAGCCAGGAGUGAAAGCCCGGGGCCCAACCCCGGGACUGCUCUUGGAACUGCGUGGCUAGAGCGCAGGAGGGGCAG